GCAGAGGUGGUUGAGUGGUCUAAGGCACUCGCUUGGAAAGCGAGCGUACAGUAACAUGUACCGUGGGUUCAAAUCCCACCCUCUGCGCCA
rnacentral:tRNA from 1 species